GAUGAACGCUGGCGGCAUGCCUAAUACAUGCAAGUCGAACGAGAGGAAGGAAAGCUUGCUUUUCUGAAUCUAGUGGCGAACGGGUGAGUAACACGUAGGUAACCUGCCCAUGUGCCCGGGAUAACUUCUGGAAACGGAUGCUAAAACCGGAUAGGUAGCAGACAAGCAUUUGACUGCUAUUAAAGUGGCUAAGGCCAUGAACAUGGAUGGACCUGCGGUGCAUUAGCUAGUUGGUGAGGUAACGGCCCACCAAGGCGACGAUGCAUAGCCGGCCUGAGGGGGCGGACGGCCACAUUGGGACGGAGCCACGGCCCAAACUCCUACGGGAGGCAGCAGUAGGGAAUUGUCGUCAAUGGGGGGAACCCUGAACGAGCAAUGCCGCGUGAGUGAGGAAGGUCUUCGGAUCGUAAAGCUCUGUUGUAAGAGAAAAACGACAUUCAUAGGGAAUGAUGAGUGAGUGAUGGUAUCUUACCAGAAAGUCACGGCUAACUACGUGCCAGCAGCCGCCGUAAUAC
rnacentral:rRNA from 1 species